GGAGUUUGGACCGUGUCUCAGUUCCAAUGUGGGGGACCUUCCUCUCAGAACCCCUACUGAUCGUCGGCUAGGUGGGCCGUUACCCCGCCUACUACCUAAUCAAACGCAUCCCCAUCCCUUAGCGGUGAACCUUUGCUUCAUUUCAGAUGUCCUCUACGAAGAACAUAGGGUAUUAAUCCGAUUUUCACCGGGCUAUGCCCUACUAAGGGGAAGGUUGGAUACGCGUUACUCACCCGUGCGCCGGUCGCCAUCUUUGAAAGCAAGCUUUCAAAAUGCUGCCCCUCGACUUGCAUGUGUUAAGCCUGUAGCUAGCGUUCAUC
rnacentral:rRNA from 1 species